AGUGAACGCUGGCGGUAGGCCUAACACAUGCAAGUCGAACGGCAGCACAGUAAGAGCUUGCUCUUACGGGUGGCGAGUGGCGGACGGGUGUGGCAUACAUCGGAAUCUACUUUUUCGUGGGGGAUAACGUAGGGAAACUUACGCUAAUACCGCAUACGACCUACGGGUGAAAGCAGGGGAUCUUCGGACCUUGCGCGACUGAAUGAGCCGAUGUCGGAUUAGCUAGUUGGCGGGGUAAAGGCCCACCAAGGCGACGAUCCGUAGCUGGUCUGAGAGGAUGAUCAGCCACACUGGAACUGAGACACGGUCCGGACUCCUACGGGAGGCAGCAGUGGGGAAUAUUGGCCAAUGGGCGCAAGCCUGAUCCAGCCAUACCGCGUGGGUGAAGAAGGCCUUCGGGUUGUAAAGCCCUUUUGUUGGGAAAGAAAAGCAGCAGGUUAAUACCCCGCUGUUCUGACGGUACCCAAAGAAUAAGCACCGGCUAACUUCGUG
rnacentral:rRNA from 1 species